UACCGUAAUACAUAAAAUCUAAGUAAUCCAUCAAUUCCUUAACAAAUUCACAGUGAUUAAUUAAACUAAUUACCUCACUGUGAAUCGAGUUCCGAAGCUGCAAAAACAACCGAGCAUCCUCCCUUAGCCAAGUUUGUUGUGUAUCAUCAGUAGGUGGAUCUUUAGUAAGGUGAUCAUCCUUAUCAAUGCUACGCAAAUAGACCCUAACAGUCUUACUCCACUCCAGGUAAUUCGAACCAUUAAGUUUGUGUUCUGUGAUCUUAGUCAUCAUCGGAAUCACAUCAGAAAUAACAUUCUUAUUGUCUGCCAUUUGUUGAGACAAAGAAAACUAACCGAAACGCUAAUCCAAAGUGCUGACAGCAACAAAAUAAUCCAAAAUCACAAAUCAAGUAAAUACCGAAAUAGGAUCUGAGAGCCAAACCUCAGAAGUCCUUUAAUGGUGUACUGGAUCAGGCAACAGCACACAGUGGUGGAAUGAGGGGAUUGAGGCGACGCUGGCAAUGUUGAAUCGGAGUCGAAACGGCCGGUCGGCGGCCAAGGUCUCUCCUGAGCAGGGUGGUGAGAACAAAUAGUCACCCUAGAUGGCCUGCUCUGAUACCAUGUAGAAAGAGAUGAUUCUCAUUGAUUUCAAUUAAUCUGUACAUGGGUAUUUAUAUACAAUUGAUUCCUAUAAUUGUGUUAUACUAAUUAGGAAGAAAUCCUAAAUAAGAAAUCCUAAAUAGGAAUACAGAAUACAAAAUAUACACAGAAAUAAUAUAAUGAUUGACUUUCCAUAACAAGCUUCUAAGGGAUGUGAUUCAUCGAGGUUUGGCACCUGACAUUGUCAGCUACAACAGCCUGAUUAGUGGUUUAUGCAAGAUGGAAGGAAUUUGGGAGGCUAUCAGUCUCUUUGACAAAUUUGCAGGUUGCAGGAAUACAAUCUGAUGCUAUUACUUAUAACCUGGUGAUUUGUUGGCAUUGCAGAGAGGGAAUGUUUGAUUUUGCCUGUUUACUCCUCCAUCAAGGUGUCAAGAAUGACUUUGUAUCUAAUGAUGUGACAUGGUAUAUUUCGUUCAGCAAUUGUUUAGAAGAUAUUGGCAAGAAGAGUUAUCCUAUUCUCUGUUUUGAGUCACUGGAAAGAAGCUUCUGAUCUUGGAAGAUGAAAUAUGUUAAGCAUUGUGAAGUGAUCCCUUCCAGCUGAAUCCAGAUGCAAAAUAUUUUUCAUUGCAUUUUCACACUAUAUGAGCUGCCUGAUCCAUCUACAUGUUCAUACUUAAUGAAGGGGUGCCACUCUAAAAGCUAUGCGGAUGAAGUUGAACAUAUCUGAAGUUAAUCCUUGUUUGUGGAUUAAAUGAAUGUGUAUAUCAAAAGGGCCUCUCUGGAAAAUGGAUUACCGUUGGUUCAAUAUUCACGCAAGUGAGCCAAGUCAAAUCAAUACAAUGUACUACUCUUAACUCGAGUUGAUUAGAUAACUUGAGUUUGAUCUCAUCCUAUUUUUUAGUACUUGUAGUCAAUUCAAUGGAAUACCCAAAAUACUCAAACUUAGCUUGAUUACUAUUAAUGAUUUAGGUUAUUUGUUUAUUGAUCUUGAA